rnacentral:lncRNA from 1 species
AGUCAGGCUCUGGGUGGAUGUCCCCAGCUGCAGCCCCCAGCUGCAGCCACUGGCAACCUAAAGAACCACAGGCCUCCUGUGAGAGAGCAGAAUGGUGCAGGAGGCCAAGCCACAGAGCGUGGCUGGGGGACUGCAUGAGGCCAGCUCAGAGGGAGAGUAUUGGUGCCCUGGCACCUCCUCCACAUGGAACCAUGAGACAGGAGAAAGGUAUGCCUAAAAAACCCUGAUAAAGCUUGUUUUUAAUUUAAAUUGAAGGAUGAAGAAGAACUGACAUUAAUACGGAUACCUCAUUACUGGUUGAUUUAUUUGGUUCCCAAAUCCUGGCUCUGUGUCAGACUCACCUGUGGAGAUUUAAAAAGGCAUCCAGGGUUUUGAUCCACACUGUUGAGCAAUGGUGGGCUUGGUUAAUCUUUAAAAAGAAUCCUAAUAGAAGAGGACCAACAAUAAUUGCAUUAUGCUUCCGUGUGAAUAACUUCUUCAGAUUUGUUUGACAGAACAGAUUAGAGGAGCUCAAGGGAGCAGACAGAGAAAAAGAUAUAGUGGACAGAUACUGUUCAAGUUUCCCAGCAUCCUUUCCCAUCCUACAUGGACCCAGGAGGGAAAAGAAACUUUCCACCUUUGGCCAAUGAACUGAGAUGAUAUGUGCCUGGAGUUGUUGGUGGCUGCGUCCUUUCUUUCUCUGUCAAAUGGAGAAAACUUGCCUGCGCAUCUAAAGGAAACAAGCUCGGAAAGGCCAUCCCAUCGUAUUUUUAGAAGUACUCACAUGAACUCUAAACAACACCUUGAGAGUCAUGGCAAUGCCCCGGACGUUUUGUAUCUUCGCUGGGUGUGUGAUAUCUUCCUGCCUGCUGGCCCAGUGUCUGUUAAGGAAUUCUGCAGAUCCAGUGCCAGGCCGUGACAGGAGACUUGCUCUAAAACAAUCAUCAGCCAGGUGGAAACAACAUCAAAAAUAAUUCUGUUUGCUAAGAGCGUUGUUCACAGCACCUCACUCCAGAGCUCUUUUCCUCUGCAUCUUGGAGUUGUUUUCACAGAGCCCACUUGCUCACCUUAUACCCGACACCUCACAGGGCAUCAUGUCAGGUUGAGUGGUCUACCUGUAAGCCUUUCUAUGUUAGCAAGAACAUUUUAAAAAAAAACAAAAAAAUCCCUUUAUUGGUCUUUGAUUCUGUGCUCACCAAGUCUUUUAUCCCUCGAAGAAUUUACGUCUUGUAGAUCAAAUGUGAAGUGCAGGACAAAGGAAGACGUGUAUAUCAAGUAAGGAAACAUGCCGGACUCAGGUGCCACAGUGAGACCUUAUACAGCUGUAUAUACUUUUACCAUUUUCACAAAUCACAGGAAAUUUUAUCCUUAUAAAUGGAACUCCCAAGUCUUGUUUUUCUUUCACAACUGGAGGAAACUAGAAAAAGAAGGACUAUUUUUGCUUUGAGAUUGGAUUUAUUUUUGGCUUAUUUGUUGAUUUUGGGGCAUGUUACAAGCCCCUGUGGGGAGAGGAAAGUCCUGGAGUCAGCAGGACCAGGCUUUCCAUCCUGCCUCCGGCACCAACCAGGCGUGCACGGGGCGCCGCUUGACUUUCUGAUGGGCAGUUUCCUCAUCUGAAAAGCAGGGAGGAUAUCUACCUCCCAUGCUUGAUGUCUGCGUCCAGCACAUCCUGGGCAACAAGAAGCUUUAAAUCUGAAUUUAGGUUGCCUUUUUACAUACGUACCUGUAGGAAGAAAACGGACCCUGAGCCACUACACCAGAUUUUGUUUCUGCUGCUUCUUAGUUUUGAACAAGUUAACUCAGAAACAAAACCUUAGACCCAAAAGGAUUUUGAGGGAUUGUCCAGUCCAGCCCCCUUGACCUACAGAUGACAAACUGUGGUCCACAAAAACGAAGGGUUUUGUCUAAGACCAUGCAGCAAACAUUGACCAUAAACCAGGAGUCAUGGGGUGGCUGGGCCCAGGGUUUUCCAGCUUUACAGUCCUGCCUUUGGGAAAGGAACACAGCUUCAAUGGGAAGAUGUGUAUGGAUGUAGAUGUGUUAGGAUAUAAUCAUUUUUUGAGUGUUUACCUAAUUUGAUAUUCUGAGUGUCAGAAAAAGCUGGUUUAGAUCAAAAGAGGAAAACAGCAACUGUGACUAUUUCACCAGGAGAGAAUUACAAAGCAGAGAGCUUAGAGUUCAGAUAGAGCUCGGAAAACGGGGGCUUGGAGAAGAAUCUCAGCCU